CAAGAAGAAGAUUUUAAAAAAGUUGAGCAAGAAAAACAAGUAUUUGAAAAUCUUUCUGAUCGAGAAAAAAGAGCAGUAAUGGCUGAAAGAAGAAUUGCAACACAGCAUACAACUUCCUCUAGGUGCGCUCGUUGUCGAGUAGCGAUAGAUGACAAAAACGCAUUCGAAAAGUACGGUUUUAAAUAUUGCUGUAUGAAAUGUGUAAAUGAACAUAAAUCUUUUAUAGGAAAGUAAUUAUUUUUACGAAUAAUGA
rnacentral:lncRNA from 1 species